AGAGUGAACGCUGGCGGUAGGCCUAACACAUGCAAGUCGAACGGCAGCACAGUAGGAGCUUGCUCUUACGGGUGGCGAGUGGCGGACGGGUGAGGAAUACAUCGGAAUCUACCUUUUGGUGGGGGAUAACGUAGGGAAACUUACGCUAA
rnacentral:rRNA from 1 species